UACGUUGGGUGCGAGCGUUAAUCGGAAUUACUGGGCGUAAAGCGUGCGCAGGCGGUUCGUUAAGUCUGAUGUGAAAGCCCCGGGCUCAACCUGGGAAUGGCAUUGGAAACUGGCGAGCUGGAGUGCGGCAGAGGGGGGUGGAAUUCCGCGUGUAGCAGUGAAAUGCGUAGAGAUGCGGAGGAACACCGAUGGCGAAGGCAGCCCCCUGGGCCGACACUGACGCUCAGGCACGAAAGCGUGGGGAGCAAACAGG
rnacentral:rRNA from 1 species